rnacentral:rRNA from 1 species
UACGUAGGGGGCGAGCGUUGUUCGGAAUUAUUGGGCGUAAAGCGCGUGUAGGCGGUUCGGUAAGGCGGAUGUGGAAUCCCGGGGCUCAACCCCGGGCCGGCAUCCGCGACUGCCGGGCUGGAGUGUGGGAGGGGAGAGCGGAAUUCCUGGUGUAGCGGUGAAAUGCGUAGAUAUCAGGAGGAACACCGGUGGCGAAGGCGGCUCUCUGGACCAUAACUGACGCUGAGACGCGAAAGUCAGGGGAGCAAACAGG